AUGCAAAGAACUUUGAAAAGAGAGUUAAAGAGUACCUGAAAUUGCUGAAAGGGAAGCGAAGGAAACCAGUGUUAGCGUGGUCAUAUUUCCCUGUCCGCUUGCGGAUUGGGCGCUGUGAUCUGCUUUGGUUGUCCUUGGUUGGGAUCCGUGGAAGGGCGCAGUGAGAGUUGAUCUCUGUUGCCAGCACGGGUCUUGACUGAGGAGGACGAAAUGGUUUUCUUUACCCCGUCUUGAAACACGGACCAAGGAGUCUAACAUAUGUGCGAGUACAGGGGUGGCAAACCCCCGUGCGCAAUGAAAGUGACAGUGGUUGGACUUUUUGCACAAUCCGCCGGCCUCAAUCCUUCGGGAGAACGGUCUGAGUGUGAGCAUACAUGUUGGGACCCGAAAGAUGGUGAACUAUGCCUGAAUAGGGUGAAGCCAGGGGAAACUCUGGUGGAGGCUCGUAGCGAUUCUGACGUGCAAAUCGAUCGUCAAAUUUGGGUAUAGGGGCGAAAGACUAAUCGAACCAUCUAGUAGCUGGUUCCCUCCGAAAUUUCCCUCAGGAUAGCUGCGAUCGAUUUCAAUUUUAUCA
rnacentral:rRNA from 3 species